rnacentral:rRNA from 1 species
ACUGACUACAUCCACGAGUUCGUCCACAAGAUAAUCGAUUGUCUUAAAAUCUUUAUCUGUUUCACGAGGAUUGUAUCCCCAUGAACUACCGAUUGUCUGACAAAGUUCCCACUUGUGGGCAGAAAAUUCACCAUAUUUUACCCGUUCGGGUGUAUAAUAAUCUCCGUGUGUACCCCAGGCAUCGCUUCCACCUCGGU